UACAGAGACUGCAAGCGUUAUUCGGAUUCACUGGGCGUAAAGGGUGCGCAGGCGGCCAAGUGUGUUAGGCGUGAAAGCCCGGGGCUUAACCCCGGAAUUGCACCUAAAACUACAUGGCUAGAGCAUUGGAGAGGGUAGCGGAAUUCACGGUGUAGCAGUGAAAUGCGUAGAUAUCGUGAGGAACACCAGAGGCGAAGGCGGCUACCUGGACAAUUGCUGACGCUCAGGCAACGAAAAGCGUGGGGAGCAAAAAGGG
rnacentral:rRNA from 1 species